rnacentral:rRNA from 1 species
UUUAAUCUUGAUUUAAAAGUGACGGGCGAUAUGUGCAUGUUUAUUUUUGUUUUCAAUUUAAAAUACUUUUUUUAAAUUUAUUCCUAGAUCCUGAUUUAUUAUUUUUUUUAUCCUAAUUCUUGAAUAAUUUUUUGUAUUCCGUUUCUUCUUAAAUAUUCUCUUUGUCUUGAUUAGUGAUUUUUUUUAGCUCAAAUUUCAGAUUUUUUUGUUUUUUUAUUUAUCUGCACAAUGAUAUGAAAAAUUUUUUUUUAAGUUCAUUUUAUUGUGGGUUUUCUAUUAUGUUGCAGAAUCCUCUAGAAAUUUUAAACACCGCCAUAUUAUUUAGUUUUUCCUUUGAUAGGUACUCUCUUUUUUUUUCUUAAAA